CCUACGGGGGGCAGCAGUGAGGAAUAUUGGUCAAUGGGCGCGAGCCUGAACCAGCCAAGUAGCGUGAAGGAUGACUGCCCUACGGGUUGUAAACUUCUUUUAUAAAGGAAUAAAGUGAGGCACGUGUGCCUUUUUGUAUGUACUUUAUGAAUAAGGAUCGGCUAACGCCGUGCCAGCAGCCGCGGUAAUACGGAGGAUCCGAGCGUUAUCCGGAUUUAUUGGGUUUAAAGGGAGCGUAGAGGGGUUGUUAAGUCCGUUGGGAAAGUUUGCGGCUCAAACGUAAAAUUGCAAUUGAUACUGGCAGUCUUGAGUACAGUUGAGGUAGGCGGAAUGCGUGGGGUAGCGGUGAAAUGCUUAGAUAUCACGAAGAACCCCGAUUGCGAAGGCAGCUUACUAAACUGUGACUGACAUUGAUGCUCGAAAGUGUGGGUAUCAAACAGGAUUAGAUACCCUGGUAGUC
rnacentral:rRNA from 1 species